CCUACGGGAGGCAGCAGUGAGGAAUUUUCCGCAAUGGGCGCAAGCCUGACGGAGCGACGCCGCGUGAGGGACGAAGGCUUUCGGGUUGUAAACUCCUUUUGCAGGGGACGAAAAAAAUGAUGGUACUCUGCGAAUAAGCCACGGCUAACUACGUGCCAGCAGCCGCGGUAAUACGUAGGUGGCGAGCGUUACUCGGAAUCACUAGGCGUAAAGCGCGUGUAGGCGGUAUUUUAAGUCUGUUGUGAAAUCUUAUGGCUCAACCAUAAAAUGUCGACAGAUACUGAAGUACUAGAGUGAGGCAGGGGAAACUGGAAUUCCAGGUGUAGCGGUGGAAUGCGUAGAUAUCUGGAAGAACGCCAAAGGCGAAGGCAGGUUUCUGGGCCUUUACUGACGCUGAGACGCGAAAGCUAGGGGAGCAAACAGGAUUAGAUACCCCGGUAGU
rnacentral:rRNA from 1 species